GACGAACGCUGGCGGCGUGCUUAACACAUGCAAGUCGAACGCAGUGGCGAACGGGUGAGUAACGCGUAAUUAACCUGCCCUUCAGAGGGGGACAACAGUUGGAAACGACUGCUAAUACCGCAUACUGCUGGAGGGGAUUGCGUCUGAUUAGCUAGUUGGAGGGGUAACGGCCCACCAAGGCGAUGAUCAGUAGCCGGACUGGUAGGAGGAACGGCAACAUUGGGACUGAGACACGGCCCAGAAUCCUACGGGAGGCAGCAGUGGGGAAUCUUCCGCAAUGGACGAAAGUCUGACGAAGCAACGCCGCGUGAGUGAUGACGGCCUUCGGGUGGUAAAGCUCUGUUGAUCGGGACGCGGUACCGAAAUAGAAAGCCACGGCUAACUACGUGCCAGCCGCCGCGGUAAUAC
rnacentral:rRNA from 1 species